CCUGGAAACUGAGCUCCGUUAUGAAAGAGAGGCUCUCAAAGAAAAGACGUUGGGUAUAGAACACAUGCAAGGAGUCCUAAGCCGAACACAGUGUCCAUUGAAGGACAUUGAACACAUGUACCAAAAUGACCAACCUAUUUUGGAAAAAUAUGUGAGAAAGCAGCAGUCUAUAGAGGAUGGACUAUUUCAACUACAAAGCCAAAAUCUGUUGUAUCAACAGCAAUGUAAUGAUGCUCACAAGAAAGCUGACAAUCAGGAAAAAACAAUAAUUAAUAUCCAAGUCAAAUGUGAAGAUACUGUAGAAAAACUUCAAGCUGAGUGUAGAAAGCUAGAAGAGAACAAUAAGGGGUUGAUGAAGGAAUGCACUCUUUUAAAAGAAAGACAAUGCCAAUAUGAAAAAGAGAAAGAAAAAGGAGAAGUAGUCGUGAGAUAGCUUCAACGAGAAGUGGGUGAUGCCCUGAACAAACAUUUGCUGUCAGAAGCUAGGCUAGAGAUUUCAUCACAACGUCGUGUUAAUUUAGAAGAUGAGACACGAAGUUCAAAAAAGAAAUUAGGCCAGAGGAGAAGUCAAUUGCAAGAAAUGCAGGAUCAACGCACAGAGACUCUAAGAUGUGCUGAGGAGAUGCCAGACCACAUGCAAAAAUGCAGCAGGUGUACAAGGAAACAUAACUGUAGAAGUAGCUGAAGAGUUACUGCGCAUUUCUGUGUCAUCUACAUGCCAUGAAAGUCUUAAAAUCAAUUGUCAAUUUCUACAAAAUACCCGCUUGGAUUUGAACUGUGAUUGCAUUAUGUCAUGAGAAAGAAUGAACAUCUUAACAAUGAUGAGUCUCUCAACUCAUGAAUAAGCUCGAAGUUGUUUGAUCGUCUGAAGGCUUCUUCUCUCAACUCGUCAAAGUCAUUCUCCGCCCAGCUUUGUUCCGUUGCUGGUUUACUCUUCUAAGCUAUUUGUAACAAGAGCCUAAAAACUGGGUUUCCUUCAUUGAACUUCAUGCCUCUCUGGUUAUUGAAGAUGGCAAGCGAGGGGCACUCUGGAUACAGGUAUAAAAUGAAGAGAAUGUCUCCUGGACCUAAUUGCCACAAUGAGAUACUACAGUUUAUUCGCACCAGGGUGGAAAAAAAGGGAAUAGUGUUCAAAUCACUGAUGGAACUGGAUGACGCUUCUAUUUCCAGAAUAUUCCCUGGGCUUUUGAAGCAAUAAAGAAAGCAAGUGAAUGGGUAAGAAGAACUGAAGGACAGUACCCAUCUAUCUGCCCAUGGCUUGAACUGGGGAAUGACUGGGACUCUGCCACCAAGCAGUUACUAGGACUCCAGCUCAUAAACACUGUGUCCCCUCUUCGUAGAGUCCUUCAUUACAGUCAAGACUAAGUCAAAUGAAACUGAAUUUUAAACUUUUUGCAUGCUUCUAUGUAGAAAAUAAUCAAAUGAUAAUAGAUACUUAUAAUGAAACUCCAUUAAGGUUUUAUUCAGUGUAGCAAUUAGUGUCUUUGAAAAUAAAGUGGAAGCAGAAUUACUUUAAUCAACUAACAAGCAAUAAUGAAA